rnacentral:antisense_RNA from 1 species
UUUGUACAGUUCUUGCAGUGAGAUUUCCGGACCACUGUCUUGUAUGUUUCCUAAGAAAAGCAAAAAGGGAAGAGAUUGAAGAGAAAGUAGAUUUUCAGCUACAAACUUUCAUCCAUUAGCUUUCAGCUUAAGCAAAUGUGCGCAAAGUUGUCAUGGAUCUUUGCGGUCAAUAAAAACCAAGCAAGAAGACUGAAUCCCAAGUCAUCUGGUAUAAAUGGAAGCAGUUUCUGUUAUGGUUCCACGCUGUCAGAAGGGUCAUCCUGGCUUAGGAGAGGGGCAGAAGGGGAAAUGCACGCGUGGAAACAGGACUGGGCAGGGAGGAUGUGACACUGUCCUCCUCACCAGGCCACGUUCCUGGCACCAACCAUAGUGUUUGGGCAGAUAAGAAAAGAAACAAUUUGCUGAAACUCCCUCUGCUUAUAACAAAACUGACUGAAAUCAGCUGGAAUCAAUAUGGCCAAAUGCAGUUUGCACACAGCAAGCUUGCUGAUGUCACAGCCUGAAUUUCUACCGCAUGUUUCAUAUGAACUCCCUCCAAAUUUGCGCAUAGGACCUAUGAGGAAGCAUGAAGAGAGAGCCAUCCAUGCCAGAAGACUUCCCAGAUGUUCCCUUUGCUUCCACCAAUUACCUGCUAACCCCAGGAUCCAACCCUAAACCUUCUGUAAUAAAAUUACUGCCUUAAA